GUCAUUUUUUCACCCGCGCGCGUGUUUGAUCCUGUUUGUGUGGCGCAGUUGAAAUCGAGAAUACUCAAGUCGAAUCGCGUGUGCUCGUGAAUGAAGUUGUUCCGGCGUUCGUUCAACAUGGUUCUGAUGGACAAAUCCACCGGGUCACCGAACCGGAACGGCUCUGGGAUGGCGGAAUUUUCGCAUAUUUGGGGACUUCUUCUACCAGGCCCGGCGCCUGCUGCGGACACUUCCGGCCGGAUUUGUUCAGGAUGGUCGUUUCGUCUGGAGGCGAAAAUCGUUAGGUAAGUUGUGUGUUGAUGCUCAACGGUGAACGUCCAAACAACGGUCAAGGAAAAGGUCACGAAAAGAAUUUUGUUGAGUGGUACGCAACUGAAAAAUAACAGAAACAGAAAGUAGCGUUUGACGUUUAUUGGCACGGUGCCUGUGUUAAAUUUGUUUUGAUGAAUAAAUAAAAUAAUAGAAUUUGCAAAUUUGAA